AUGUUCAUCAGAGGGAUGUCUUGGGUGCAGAUGACAUCUGACUGCCUGAGGGACACAGCUCCAACCUCUACGUGUCUUGGGAAACCUUUUGGAGAGCUUCCCUCAGGAAAACAGAGGGAAAGAGACAGAGAGGAAGUUGCCUGGUUAUUCAGGCAGAGCACUCCUGAGUGGAAACAGGAGGAUGUGGAGAGAUUUUGCAAUUUGAGUCAGUUCCAGAGUAGAGGAACACUCUUCAUUCAAAACUUGCUCAAGUACAAAGUCAUUUUGAAAACAGAAGAAGGAAUCUUUCACAACUGAGUCAAAUCUAAAUGAUGGGGGUAAGCCCAGAGAUUUUUUCCUAUACCUAGAAUGCUCUUGGUUAUUCAACUUAUUUGCUUAGAUUAAAGGUUUCUUAGCCUGAUCUUAUUUUAUCUGGCAUUGGUGAAGAAGAAAUAAUUUUGCGUGCAAGGCUUUAAAAGCUGCAUAUCUUGAACAUGGAGUCACUUCUCCAGUAGGGCUGUCCUGGGAAUAGGGAAUAGCAAGGUUGAAUAUAAGGCUUGAUAACUACAGAUAUUUUCAGUAGCACCAAAGGAGGUAUGGGAAGUGAUGAAAAAACUUAUGAAAGGUAAACGGACUAUAAUUCAUACUAAAUAUCUCCCCUUGUGCAGAAGCUCUUUUUAAAUUACUCAGAUAAAUGAGCUCAUUUAUGGAAUAUUUUGUACUGCAUGAACUUAUAUGGGCACCUGUCAUGUAUAUAUAUUUUUAAUACUGAACUCAUAUAGAUGGCUUGAAGUCCCC
rnacentral:lncRNA from 1 species